GAGAGAGAGAUUCGAGAGGCGGAGACGAGUGAGAUUCGAGAAGUUAGAAACGACGAGAGUGUUGAGACGGAAAAAGUUUUGUCUUUUUCCAAUCGAAAUGUAUUGGUUUUGGAAACCUAUCCUAUAUUAAUUGGUUUAAGUAUGCUUAUGUAAUAUUCUUUAACAGAUGAUUCACUUCAGACCAGCGGUUAAACCGAGGCAUUUCAUAACACAAAAGUCUCUCUAUCCCCGGUUUCGAUAAGUGGUGGAUUCAAAAUCAAUUUUAAUUUUUUUUUGUGUUAUAGUUUAGAGUUAAAUACAAUUAAAUGUAAUCCAUUAACAGAUGAUUCUUCUUUGCCUAGUGGCUAAAAUCCCACACUAUCCAAAUACGCAAACUUUCUCCCUCUGUGUUCGAUCCUUUUUGGAUCUAAAUUUUUUUUUUUUUUUUUUUGUCUGUAAACAUCACAAUUUUAAGCUUACAAUUUUUUCUGGAAACCCAUCCAGAAACAUUAUUUAACCUUCCAAGAUAUAUGACCCAAAAAAAAUACUUGAUAUCCUUCCAAUCUUUCUUA
rnacentral:lncRNA from 1 species